AACAUGGCUCAGUUGGUAGAGCAACGCAUUCGUAAUGCGUGGGUCGGGGGUUCGAGUCCCCCUGUUG
rnacentral:tRNA from 1 species